UACGUAGGGUGCAAGCGUUACUCGGAUUUAUUGGGCGUAAAGCGCAUGUAGGUUGUUUCGUAAGUCUGAUGUGAAAGCCCUGGACUCAAUUCAGGAACUGCAUUGGAUACUGCGAGGCUAGAGUAUGGGAGAGGUAGGCGGAAUUCAUGGUGUAGAGGUGAAAUUCGUAGAUAUCAUGAGGAACAACAGAGGCGAAGGCGGCUUACUGGACCAUAACUGACACUGAGAUGCGACAGUGUGGGGAGCAAACAGG
rnacentral:rRNA from 1 species